CCGGGUGGUCGCGCCGCACGACAAGGCCGCGGCGAUCCCGCUUGUCGAUGAGCGCGUCAAGGAAGGCGCGACCGUCAAGGUCGGCAACCUCCGUGCGCGCGUGCUCGAAACCCCCGGACAUACGCUCGAUCACAUUAGCUAUGUGUUCGACGAGGACCGCGCACUGUUCUGCGCCGACACCCUGUUCUCGAUCGGCUGCGGCCGCGUGUUCGAGGGCACCUAUCCGAUGAUGUGGGAAUCGCUGCUGAAGCUGCGCGCUCUGCCGAAUGACAUGCGCGUUUAUUGCGGUCACGAAUAUACCGCGUCCAACGU
rnacentral:misc_RNA from 1 species